GGGCAAAAAGAGAAGCUCAGAGCACUUCGGACCCUGGUUCCGUGCCCCAGGGACCCCCUGAGCCAGCCCUCUGUUAGGAGCACAGCCGAACUCCAUCAUCUCCUGCUUCUUCAUUUGGGCUUCCCAAGAAGGAAGGGCACCAGCCCAGGGUUUGGCAGCCCCCGGAGAGGGCAUCCUGAGUGGCCGGGGGAGCCCCAGGCUCUUCCACAUACCAGGGAGACGGGCAACCUGGGGGAGAAGGUGCAGGAUGGGGGCUGGAGGCCCUGCGGGCAGGAGGAAGAUGGGCUGCUGACUCUGACCAGCACCAGCUCUGGGGGCCCUGCGGAGGCUGUGGACACCAACGAUGAGGAGGCUUCUGCCUCUGCGACCUGCUCCACCUGCCCCAUCCUGGACCUGCCCCCUCCCUGGCCCACGGGCUGCGGGGCUGAGGACGUCCAGGCCUUCUGCUUCAUCUGCCUUCACAAGGAAGAAGAGACUCUGGAGACCCUUCCCCUUCAGAGGCCCUCCUCAGGCUGAGUACCCCCGACCCUCAAGCCCCAGCCGGCCGAAGUCCCCUUGGGCACGUCUCCCUGGCUGAGAAGAGGAAUGCAUUCUGCUCAGUUCUGGUGGCCUUCCUCUCCCUACAUACCCUGGAUUCCUAAAAUCCCUGGUACUUGGUGGGGGAGACUGGGGGGGAAUGGAAGGAAAGGGGGUGGGGGUGCGUGAGGUGUGUGUCUGCCUAGUUGGAGGAGGAAGGAAGGUGAAUCAUCUACUUACAAGCCCACCUAAUGGCAGCUGGGGUAGCCCCACUCCCCCAGCCACAUGCUUUGGCUCAGUCAUCAUCCUCUACCUUUACCCUCAGCUCCGGAACAGGUGGGGAGCCCAACUCCUCGUGACACCCUAGAAUGAUAAUCUCCAUAUCUUACAUAAAGGGAAACUGAGGCUGGGGAGGGGCACAAGACAAACUAGUCACAAAGUCACAAAGGUCUCUGGGCACUUUCUCCCAGACCAUGUUGCUUCAGGCUUUCCCCUGUCGGUCUUGGGUGGAGCUAUCUGGGCUCUUCUCAGGUCCUUAGAGAUCUCCAUCCCUAGGUGCUGAUUCAGCCUCCAGGCACAGUGUGUGGGUGGGGCUUGGAGCAGAGGUGACCCCUGUCUCCAGCUGCCAACACUCAGUCCUUUUCUUGGAGGUCUGUGGUUAAGUGGGUUACUGGUGGUUAAUGCACUUGCUUUUGGGUUGGGAACAUGCUGAAAGAGGUCUCAUGUUUCCCUGAAAGCUCACAGACCCGACAGCAGCUGAGUGCAGCUCCUGCCUCUGGCUUCUUUGGCCCACUGGCCCCUUCCCCACAAAGUGGGCACACAAACACAAAGACCCCGUGUCCAUAAAUGCCCACUUACACGUGAGCACCACGCACACCCACACAAACACAUGAGACCGGCUUUCAGCGCUUGAGUCUCCCUGGCUCUCUGCCCUGUAGGCAACAGGCAGAGGGGGAGAGAAACCAGGAGAGAAGGUGGAAAGAAACAAGCAUUUAAGGACCCCUGAUGGGAGUCCCAAGUCAUUAACUGGGCUCGCACCCAUUCUGGAACAAGAAGGUUCAAGGAACCUAAAGUCCUGGGAGAUUCUGGGGCCAGGGACACUCACACACACUCCCUGCUAUAACAUGGAAAAACCCAUUAAGGACACAAGAAAUUCAGGAAACCUCCCUCCGAUUUCACAGUCCGGCCCAGCCAAGAGAAGCAGCUGGACACAGAGGAAAGCGCUGUUCCGUGGGCUCCCUGGGAGGAGGAUUUAAAAUGGGGAUCUUGCCUCUCUCUUCUAGGGGACUGAAGGCUGUGUUCUUGCCCAUCUUGUGUGUGUGUGCACCAGUAGGUACAAAAUA
ensembl:lncRNA